ensembl:lncRNA
CCUCCAUCGUGCUGCAGAAGUGGUGGUGCCAGAUGGAGCCCUGCCUUGACGGGGAGGAGUGCAAGGUCCUGCCCGACCUCUCAGGCUGGAGCUGCAGCAGCGGCAACAAAGUGAAGACAACCAAGGUCACCCGAUAGCACCCCCGUGGGGGUCCCUGCUACAUUGCCUGUGCCGUGCCCGUGCUGUCCCGGAGCCAGGUGCGGCGUGCUGUGGUGCUCCCGUCCUGCAUCCCGCGCCGCCGUCAGACCAUGCCAGGAGUCGCCGUUACCCCAUCUCCAGGAUCCCGAAUCAGGGUCAGCACCAGGAGCUCAGAAGCUGGUGGCGGCGCGGAGUCGUCCCGGCGCGGCGCUGGGAGCGCGGUGCUGGCCCUGCAGAGGCUGCAGCCCCGGCGUGGCGGCGUGGCUGGUGCCGUCCGACACCUCCGGCACCGGAGAUGCAGGGAGAGAGAAGUAACCUCUGCCACCUCCAUCCCACUGCUGCCAUUCAGCUUGCUCCUGUCUGGCCAUUUGGUUUAUUGCUGCUUUUACAAUGGAUUCAAACAAGGACAAGAAAAAGUUUUGUCUUUUCCAGAAGCCACAAGAUUUUUCCUAGAAUCACCCCAGCUACAGAAAAGAUUCACCAUGCAUCUCCAGUGCCACAGUUCGGAAUGUAGAAAACCAGCCGGCGUAUCAGACCCAGAGCAGUGCGCCUCGUCCUGCUUCCAGGGGAAGGGACACGCAGCGGCUUCAGCACUGGUCCGGAGCCCCAGAGCCGUAAAGCAAGAGCUGCUCUGCGGAAAGCAUCCCCUGCACUGCCUGGCUGCUGCUCUGGCACGCUCCUGCCUGCGGGGCCAGAGCCACUGAAGGAUGCUCCUGGGAGAAGUGAUCUUUGCCAAGGCUCUCCUUUCUUCAACAGAAGGGUUUUUCCAGUUUUAAUCCAGGCCAGCAGCAAGAGGCUGCUGCCAGCCCUGUCCUGCCUGGCCGCGAUGCCCCAGCCCACGCAGCUUCGCUCUCCUCUUCCUCUCAGAGCGCGGGCAGGAGGCCCCUGGGUCUGCAUGUCCAGUGCCUGCAAAGCGGGGCUGGAGCCUGCUGUGCACAUCAGUGAAAGCGAGGGUAAUGCAGGACUGGUGAGGCUGGCCUGCAUGCGAACGUCAGACAUCCCUCCUGACUGCUGCCAACAGAAAACGGACAAAUUUGCACACCUCCGCUGCCCCCGAUGUGCUUUUCUCCCUGCUCCGCAUCCCCAGGCAGGGGCCACGGGCCCGCACGGGUAUCGCACCAGGCACGAUACCCCUACCUGGAAGGGAAAGCACAUGGCCACGGUCCUGCCGAGCUGCCAGAAGCGUGUCAUGAGCAGGGAGACACAGAAUUGAUUCAUCGGUAACAGGGCACGCUGCAUGGAGCCAGGAUCGAGUGACGAUCCUAUUAAAUACUUGUUGAUGCUUUCGUAUUAGUGGGCUCUAAGUCAAUCAAUUAUUUAAAUAGGAUGGGAACGAUGUCCCAUUAAUUUAAAUUAAUUAAAGGGGCUGAAAUCAUGUUGCAUUAAUAACAAUAAAAAAUAUUAUGGAUACUCA